rnacentral:lncRNA from 1 species
UUUUUGUUGUUGUUGGGGGUGGGGUGAAAGCCUCACUAAUGAUCAGCAUAAUUACACUUCAAAUCUCUGCUUCCUUUGGGGAAGUGCAGUAUUUCCUUUGUUCAAUCAACUCGUACUGAAAGAAAGCUGAUGGGAACGCACCAGUUUCCUUUUCAUUGAAUUUUGGAUUAUUUUAGACAGCACUCCUUUCCUCCUUUCUGUUGUCUGAAAGGAUGUGGCAUACAUUUAUUUGGAAAACACUCUACUUGUGUAUUAAACUAUAUAACUUCUGGACAGUGGGGGACAGUCGGGGAAUGUAAACAUUAAGUAAACUGUUUGGUAGCCCCAAGUCUACACGACUUGAGUGUGAGGAAACCGCCCCUUAAAUGUCCUUGCGUCUUGUCUAGUCUGCGUGUGUGUAAUACAGAGCAGGAGCCUCUGCUCACAGUAACUGAACCGCCCGCCCCAGCCUCUCCUGCCCGCCAAGGGGCCCGGGAAGACUGCUGCCUGGAGCCCAUCUCCUCAGCCGUCAGCAGCAGCAGGUGUUCCUGAAAAACAUUCGUGAUUUGGAUGUGAGAAAGGACAUGAGGAGACCAAAGACCUGGGAUUUCGCUGAUCAGAAUGAAACAGAUGUUGAAAGACUUUUCAA